AAAAAAUAAAUAAUUACUGCAUGACUUUUCAUCAAUCCAUAUAUACAACAUUAUGAAUCAUGAACUUUUCAUGCUCUCUUGACGAUAUACAAUAACUAUAGGUUGUGCUAUCAUGAAAGGUUAUAAAUUAAUAGAAAUUUGACAAAAAAAUAAUAAUAAAAUACUAUGAUUAGUAACAUAUUUUAUUUGACCUCCUUAGUAAGUGUGUUGAAGGGAUAAACACAACACAUUAUUAUGUACUUGAAAAGACAUUUAAUAAAGUCUAUUUUUAGGAAACAUUUUAUACAACUCCAUAAUUGCUAAAAAAGGGGGAAAUAUGGUCAAAAUUGUCAAGUUUGAUAAUGUUAAGAUUAUCUUUCUUAUAUUUCUUUUUGCAAUGAGGGUUGAAGCGAAAUAUAUUACAUAUCAUGUUCCAUGUAUUCUCCAUAUUGAUUGUUCAAUAAACAUGUGUAAGCCUCCUUUUCAACGUUGUUGUUUUGAAAGAGCAUGUGUAUGUCGUUUAUGGUAAAUGAUAGAUUCUAUGAGUACCAUAUCAUUGAAAUUUGAAAGUACAUAGACACACAUCUAGAAUAUUAUGUGAGUUGUCAUUUAAUUAUUGUGUUAACAUCCAAUAAAUUAUUUUUUCCCUAAUUUUACAAUCUUGUGAUUAUGACUUUGUGUUUUAAGAUGACGAUAAUAAAAGAAGGUAGGUAGCAAUUAUGUAAAUAAAUUAUCUUAUUCUCUCUUAAUUUCCAACUCCACCUCUUAACGAAUAAUAGUUUUUGUUAUUUCAAACCAUAAUUUUUUAAUUGUUAUAAUAUUAUUGUUACAUAUAUUGUAACACCAUAUAUUUAUAGUACUAUCAUUUUAGGCAAAUUCUAUGGUGCCGUGUUGCUUUUAACGGUUCCAGAACCGUGCGUUGACUGGCCAAUCAGAAACCAGAAUUGGACAGUGCUGACCUUUUGCAUGCCACAUCGGAUUAUACGCUGCAACACCUUUUACCGUGCACUUUCUGUGUUCCCUCAUAAAAUCAAGCGAGUUUUAGAUCUUAGUAUAUAGUAGCUACACAGGAUGAUAUCUCAAAAUCUUUAAGUUUACAUCUAAAAAUCUAGAUUUUUAUGCUCAUCUUCUACAACCAUAAAUCCCUACAAUCACUCUAUAUUCUUCAACCUCACUCCUUACCCCAUCAUCACCUUUUUCCUUCGUCACCCACCCACACCAACAACCAACCAUUUAUUUCUCAACAACAACUACAAACCCAUAAAAACAACUCAAAAUUAGCACAAAAUUAGAAAACCCCAAAAUUCCAAGAUCCGGAAAUUGAACCAAAUUAAAACCCAAUAUCUGGAAAUAAAGAAGGUCCACGCGAUGAUGAUGUUGUUGAGAAUCAAUUUUUGAGAGAUUUAUCUCCGAUUUAUAAAUAGAAGACAUUGAAGUCGUAGAUCUUGUAUUUUAUUGGUAGUUUUGUUUCUGAGUGUGAGUUCCAUGUUGUCUGGGAGCCUUGCUUUUGGUUUAAUUUCUUCUAGAUUUUUUGCGGUUGCAACAUGCUGUUUGGUUUUCUCCCUUUGUUUUAGGCACAUUGGUUUUUAUUUUUUAGGGGAUUUGGUUUUUUAGUGCUUCGGCUGGGUGGCACUUGUUGUGCUAGGAGUUUGUUUGUUUGCCUUUUUUUUCUCCCCUUCAAGAAAGUUGCAGAUUUGUUGUUGAUGUUGUAGAUGAAGAAUCAUUGAUGAAUUUUUUACUGGGUUUGUCUGUAACUGAAAAUAAUAUUAUUUUUUUUUAUUCCGUCAAAAAAAAAUAUUGUAAAAAAAAUAGUUAUCUACUACUA